rnacentral:lncRNA from 1 species
UGGACUUUGAGCUCAAUGCCAUGACUGAGGAAGACCACGGGGUUUUCUCUCUUAGAGGGGAGGGAAUCCUUGAUAUUCUUCAUUCCAAUUGUUCACCUCUACUGUAGGGCUCAGUAAACACUUAAGGAAGUUGCCGUGCACUGCAGCCUGCCGGAGACAUGAAGGAAUGUACGGGAGGAUAAUCGCAACAUCAUCAACCCAAUUCUCCAAGGUAAUUUGCCAUGGGACAGGCACACCCCAUGUGUUUGGGAAGACAAUGGGAAGGUUCUGUUUUCUGCUCCAAGACUGAUUCAACCAGUUGGAUCUGGAAGGGGAUAAAGGGCUGUGUGGCUGCUUGAUUUUCAUUGUCUAGUGGCAGCCAAAAUUGGAAAAGAGAGAAGUGCAGACUUUAAAGACAAGCAGCGACAGCUCAUCAGCAGUCUAACAACACGACAGAUGACAGGCCCAGAGGCACACCCAGGGCCGCCAGCCCAUCACCCUGUGCAGGAUGUCAAAGAGCAGCUGCAGCAAAGGAAGAAGAUCAUCCAGACUUAAAUGUUUGGGCCUUGCUAAGACCAUAGAGUCUUUGUGCUUUGGAAACAGUCCUCCAUACAAAGACCCCUUCCUAGAAAAGAGUGGAAAGAAACCAAGGUGGAAUGGAUACAACAGAAAGGAGACCAUGCUAAUAUUCUUGUGCAAUGCUUCCUGGGCAGAAAUUAUGUCAUAAAGGAUGUUCCAUUCUGCAAAGCUAUGUGUCUCUCUGUGGUUUGCCUCAGAGGAGGGGCCUUUCAUAGCUGUAGUGAGUAAGGGGGCCCUUGCUGAUGUUCAUCAGAUAUGCCAAGGCACAGGAAGAAAGCAUUGAGGUCACAGGGCAGCUCAGGUCCGCCUGUGGUAAUUGAAAACAGGUGACGAGAUUGGGUUGAUUUUAUUUUGGAAAAGUAAAUUAGUGCUGCACCACUCGGACAUGGCUAAUUCAUGAAGCCUCUGGUUUGUAUUAGACACCCAACAUGCCUUUCAGAAAGAAAUGACACAACAAUUAAUGUGUCAAAUAAUAAUGUGCCACUCGGAGAAAGAUAAUUGUACCCAUCGUCAGGUAGUUAUUAGGUCGAACGAAUGCUCAUCCUUUCAAAGGCAACAGCGUCUAUUCAUUCUGGCAUCCUACUGUAAGUACAGUAUUGUGUUCAUAAUCACACAGACUGAAGCCAGGAACACUGGGUUUUAUCUGAUUUUUCUCCAUUUGGAAUUGUACUCCGAUGAUUCCCUAAACAGCAAACUCAGUCAUGUGAAACACAAAUGAGUGUGAUGAAAGACAGAUUGUUAUACUGCAGGAGAGGCUUUCUGUGCUUUUCACAUAAUAUAGAGCAUGAGGACUGUUCCCAAGAAGGUUUAAGCAUAUGUAACAAAAACUACCAGACCUGAAUUUGCUCAUGUGUAAAUGAUAGUCUUUCCUUCUGGUGAUUUAAUGCAUGAGGACAUCAAUCAGUCACAUCAUGGCCUCAGAAGUCCUUGUUCAAUUUCUGAUGCCAUAACUUACUCGAUGUGGGAUUUGGACAAGUCAUUUAACUUCACUGCAAUUCUGUUUCCCUCAUUUGAAAAAUAGAAAUAGAAAAGCCUGCUGUAUAUUUAGGUCCACAUCUGUUGGGGAGGUCAAAGAAGAAAGAAUAUGAAAAGUUGUUUGUAAAUAUAAAGAACCAUGUAAAUAUAAGACAUUGUUUUAUUAAUGCUCCAGAUCAAUUAACUUUCAGUGAAUGAUAAAAUGUGACAUCUUUUCAACAGAGACAGUUUUACUUAAGAAAAACUAGGCAAUGGCUUCUGUCCUUACAAAUGAAAAACUUCAUAAUAAAUGGGGGCUCUCAAGACCACCUGGCCAAAACUGAACUAAAUACUCACUUCAUUCAACCAAGAAUGAGGAACUGAAAUACAUGAUUAUUAUAUAUGCAUAUGCUUCUGUUUCAUCUACUUGGGCAUGCUUGUGAUGAGAUAUGAAAAAUUAGCCAUCUUUAGAAGGAAAGAAAUAUUGUAUUUGGGGGUAUUUCUUCUGUACAGACAAUUGGCCUGGUUAUUGUCUAAAGGUAUUUAAAAUUAAUAAAAUGCAAUUUUAUGCUACAUAAAAUACUCAAAGCAACCAU